AAGUUCCGUACCUGUGAUCCAUCUCAGUCUAUAAAUGUGUUAUCUUGUGAUGUACUUGAUAUCAUAAAGUGCUAAAAUACCUACUUCUGCUUAGUGUGUUGCAGAAACAAAUGUGCAGGAACAUGAGCAGGUCUUCAGUUUACUUCUUCAAUCCAUCAACAGCCUGAAGUCAGAGGUAACUGCACUGAUUAGAGAACAUGAGAGGAAGGAGGUGAGAAGGACUGAGGAGCACAUAGAGCGAAUGGAGAAGGAGAUAGAGGAGCUGAUGAGAAAGGAUGCUGAGCUGACUAAGCUUUUGCAGACAGACGACCAUAUUCACUUCCUCCAGAAGUUCUCAUCUCUCACUUGGCCUCCAGGAGAUGGAGUCCCACCUCACAUCACUGUCAAUAAAGAGUUGCUUCCUGAAUCUCUGAGGAAGGAUCUGUCUGAUCUGAAGAAAAGUCUACAGGAGAUCAGCAGCAGGCAGUUAGUGAAAGUUAAUGGUACUUAAGAUCCAGUUUACAUCCUGCAGGAACUGAUCACCAGAAGUAGCCUUUUAAAAAAUUCCUGCCGGCUCACGUUGGAUCUUAAUACAGUACAUAAAAAUCUCCAUCUAUCUGAAGAGAACAGGAAGGUAACGUAUAGUAAGACAGAGACCCCGUACCCCAAUCACGCUGAUAGAUUUGACUGGUGGCUCCAAGUACUCUGCACAGAAGGUCUAAUCGGGAGCCACUGCUACUGGGAGGUGGAGUGGAGUGGCAGGAGAGCGGAAAUUGGAGUUGCAUACAAAGGACUCUGCAGGAAAGGAUACGGCGAUGUGUGCUGCCUUGGACGCAAUGACAAAUCCUGGUGUUUGUGCUGCUUGGACUCUCGGUACUCCAUGUGGCACAAUAACAAGGAAACAAUGAUCACGGCCCCAUGCUGUUCAAGAAUAGGAGUGCAUCUGAAUUGUCCCACUGGCGUUCUCUCAUUUUAUAAUGUCUCAGAUAACAUGACCCUACUGUACAGGUUCAAGGCCUCCUUCAGUGAGCCUCUUUAUCCAGGGUUUAGGAUCGGAAUUGACUCAAGCAUUAGAAUCUGCCAGCUGGACCUGUCCGACUAAUGACUUAUGGGGUAAGAUUCUCGAGAAUGCAAUGCAGCACAUGAAAUUCUUUAAUAAUGAUUGGGAUAGAAGUUAAAAGGAUUCAGUGUAGCAGAGUAACUCUAAAAUCUGUGAUAUGGAUGCGACUCUUAGGAAUCCAGCACAUCAUAACCAACUUCAUCAGU